rnacentral:rRNA from 1 species
UACCGAGUUUACAACUCCCAAACCCCUGUGAACAUACCAAUUGUUGCCUCGGCGGAUCAGCCCGCUCCCGGUAAAACGGGACGGCCCGCCAGAGGACCCCUAAACUCUGUUUCUAUAUGUAACUUCUGAGUAAAACCAUAAAUAAAUCAAAACUUUCAACAACGGAUCUCUUGGUUCUGGCAUCGAUGAAGAACGCAGCAAAAUGCGAUAAGUAAUGUGAAUUGCAGAAUUCAGUGAAUCAUCGAAUCUUUGAACGCACAUUGCGCCCGCCAGUAUUCUGGCGGGCAUGCCUGUUCGAGCGUCAUUUCAACCCUCAAGCCCAGCUUGGUGUUGGGACUCGCGAGUCAAAUCGCGUUCCCCAAAUUGAUUGGCGGUCACGUCGAGCUUCCAUAGCGUAGUAGUAAAACCCUCGUUACUGGUAAUCGUCGCGGCCACGCCGUUAAACCCCAACUUCUGAAUGUUGACCUCGGAUCAGGUAGGAAUACCCGCUGAACUUAAGCAUAUCAAUAAGCGGAG